rnacentral:rRNA from 1 species
CGAGCGCACCCCUAUCCUUAUUUGCCAGCGCAUAAUGGCGGGAACUACAUGGAGAACAGCCGGUCAUAAACCGGAGGAAGGCGGGGACGACGCCUAGAAAAUCAUGGCCCUUAUGGGUAGGGCUACACACGUGAUACAAUGGGUGGUACAGAGGGUCGCCAAAGCGCGAGCUGGAGCCAAACCCUUAAAACCAUUCUUAGUCCGGAUUGGAGUCUGCAACUCGACUCCAUGAAGUCGGAAUCGCUAGUAAUCGCGAAUCAGAAUGUCGCGGUGAAUACGUUCUCGGGCCUUGUACACACCGCCCGUCACGUCAUGGAAGUGGGUUGCACCAGAAGUGGCUUGUUUAACCUUCGGGAAAACGGUCACCACGGUGUGAUUCACAACUGGGACGAAGUCGUAACAAGGUAGCCCUAGGGGAACCUGGGGCUGGAUCA